ACCCAUGCUGGCCCCAGGACCCCAGCCCCAGGCCAGACCCUCCAGUGCUCCUGCUGACCUUCCGUGUCUGCAGCCCGGCUUUGGACUGUGGAGAUGCCCUCAGCCUCUACUCAGUGGCUCCAGCCUCAUAUUUGCGUGCUAUACCUUUAACCUCAAGUCCUCUUGCUGCUAACUUAAGCUGCGACUGUCCAGGACCUGCACACACACACACAUGCACGCAUGCACACACACACACACAGAAGCCCCAGCUCCAGCCCCUCAGGAGGGGACUGCGUGGGAGGAAUGACUCCAGCAAGCCGGCAGCUGACCCGUCUCCUGCCUGCACGCCUCCCGCUGUGGUCCACUGCCGGUGGUCUUCAGCUCUCUCCUCGUCCCACCCCCAUGGUCUGCUGACAGCCCAGCUCAGUGCAUCCCUGCCAUCUCUGCUCUACCGCUGGUCCUCCCAACAACCAACUUACAGGUUUGGGGGCACACGUGAAGGUUUGACAUAUAGUAAACACAUGUCAUGGUGGUUUGUUGUACAGAUUAUUACAUCACCCAGGGUUUCACUCCCGUCACCCAGACUGGAGUACAAUGGUGCGAUCUCAGCUCACUGCAACCUCUGCCUCCUGGGCUUAAGCGAUUCUCCUGCCUUGGCCUCCCAAGUAGCUGGGAUUACAGGUGCCUGCCACCACUCCUGGCUAAUUUUUGUAUUUUUUGUAAAGGCGGAGUUUCUCCAUGUUGCCCAGGCUAGUCUCAAACUCCUGAGCUCAAGCAAUCCACCCGCCUCGGCCUCCCAAAUAAGUGGAAUUAUAGGUGUGAGCCACCACGCCGGCCCUGAUGUAUCAAUAUUAAAACAUUUUCUUCAGCCUACAA
rnacentral:lncRNA from 1 species